UUGGAUAUGGUCUUAGCCUCAACCACCUCAAACCCCACCAGAUCCCCACCUCCCUCUUCUUCAUUUUUCUGGUGAAACUUUAACGGAAUACAACCAGAUAGAAGCACAAAACAACCUCUUUCUUCUACACUAGAUCCACCCCAAAUCCGCCAGAACACCACCAAAACAGACCCACCACGAGCUCACAGCCACCCAUCACAACCCAUUUUCCCCUUCUUGCUCGCUACCCCCAGAUCAACGAACAGCAAAAAAAUAAAGUACCACUACAAACCAGUCCUCAAACAGCAACUCCACCACUCCAAAACAACCCAUUUUCCCCUUCUUGCUCGCUACCCCGAGACCAACCAACAACAAAAAAAUAAAGUACCACUACAAACCAGUCCUCAAACAACAGCUCCACCACUCCAAAACAACCAGAAAAUGCCAUUUUCGGCAAGGAGCACGAAGCUCGAACAACAACAACCAAGCACGACUCCAUCGUGAUUCCAACACCGGUGAAAUUUCCAGUGAGCCAUCAGACUAACCAGACCCACAUCGAAACCCAUUGCAAACAUCUGUUCAAACCAGAAAUACAACAACUCAAACUCCGGUAACCCCUCUUUCACUUCGUUUUUCUUUUCAAUUCCAGAUCUGGCCGGAGGGGUUCAAACUCCGGCCAGCUCUAUCUUUAUAUUUUUUUUUUCUCAAGUUCAUAUGCUUUUUAUUGUUGAUUCUUUCAAGUUUUGGGACUGAUUUCUCUUUUUUCAGUGAGUUUUGUUUAUAGUUUGGUAUAUAGCCUUUUGUUAUUGUUUGCUUCGUCUCUAUUUGAUAUUGUUGUUCUUCAUGCACGUCUUCCCAGAUUGUGUUUUGCUUUACCAGGAUUAUAAUAUUGUGAUUUGUUUUAAUAUACUUUUUAAAAAUAAAAUAAAAUAAUGGAUAUCACUGUUUUUGUCUUUUUGUUAAUGAACCCUUUUAUAUUUGGUUUAGUUGGUUAAUUUUAUUCAUUGCACAUUGUUUACCUAUAGCUUUACAUAAAUCAUGUUACUAUUUAAUUGUUGUUGUUGUUAUUAUUAUUAUUGUUUUUUUAUUUAUUUAGUUAUGUUAUUAUAGUUUGAUAGUUACAUUGACGUGUGGUUAUUAUUAUUUAGUUAUUGUUUGGAUGUUUCGUUACUUUUAUAUGGUUAUAGUUUUGAAUUGUUGUACUUGUCUUAUAUUAUUUCUUGUUGGUUUCAUACAAAUUUAUGUUAAAAUUUUACUCCUUAAUUGACCAAUAAAAAAAUCUCUCCGUCAGUUUUAGAGGCCUUCUCAUUUUAAAAGACGAAAAUUUAGUUUAAGUUCAUAUUUGUUAGAAAUUGAAAUUGAUCGAUGAAGAAAUUACCGUCGAUUUCCAAGGUCUCCCAUGUUAAUAAGACGGACUUUUAUCUUUAAGUUAUUAUUUGAGUUAUUCAUUUUUAUUUAGUACUAACACUUUUACUAAGUGUUUUUACAGAUACACGGAGCUGCUUCCCAUUGAAGCUAUUUGAACCGAGUUCGAAUUAUAAUUUUUAUUUAUUAUUGUAUAUAUUAUUGUCGUUAAGCAAACUUAUGCCUUUUCUUAUUAUUAUUUUCUUUGUUUAUUAUAUUUUUAUAUUUGUUUUUUAUCUCCUCCUCAAUUUGAAAAAAUGAAUUUAGUCGGG
rnacentral:lncRNA from 1 species